rnacentral:rRNA from 1 species
AGGAUUAGAUACCCUGGUAGUCCACGCCUUAAACGAUGGGUACUAGGUGCUGGGCCGCAAGGUUCAGUGCCAAAGCUAACGCAUUAAGUACCCCACCUGGGGAGUACGAUCGCAAGGUUGAAACUCAAAGGAAUUGACGGGGGCCCGCACAAGCAGUGGAGCAUGUGGUUCAAUUCGAUGCAACGCGAAGAACCUUACCCGGAUUUGAAAGGCUCAUGACAACCGAUGAAAGUCGGUCUUGUAGCAAUACACAUGAGUACAGGUGCUGCAUGGCUGUCGUCAGCUCGUGCCGUGAGGUGUUGGGUUAAGUCCCGCAACGAGCGCAACCCUUACACUUAGUUGCCAUCAGGUCAAGCUGGGCACUCUAAGUGGACUGCCUACGCAAGUAGUGAGGAAGGUGGGGAUGACGUCAAGUCCUCAUGGCCCUUACAUCCGGGGCCACACACGUGCUACAAUGGUCGGUACAGAGGGCUGCAGAGCCGCGAGGUGAAGCUAAUCCCAAAAAACCGAUCUCAGUUCGGAUUGGAGUCUGCAACUCGACUCCAUGAAGCUGGAAUUGCUAGUAAUCGCGCAUCAGCACGGCGCGGUGAAUACGUUCCCGGGCCUUGUACACACCGCCCGUCAAGCCAUGGAAGCUGGGAGUACCCGAAACCGCUGUGCCAACCCGCAAGGGAGGCAGGCGUCUAAGGUAAGACCAGUGACUGGGGCUAAGUCGUAACAAG